rnacentral:rRNA from 1 species
AGUGAACGCUGGCGGUAGGCCUAACACAUGCAAGUCGAACGGCAGCACAGUAAGAGCUUGCUCUUACGGGUGGCGAGUGGCGGACGGGUGAGGAAUACAUCGGAAUCUACUUUUUCGUGGGGGAUAACGUAGGGAAACUUACGCUAAUACCGCAUACGACCUCCGGGUGAAAGCAGGGGAUCUUCGGACCUUGCGCGAUUGAAUGAGCCGAUGUCGGAUUAGCUAGUUGGCGGGGUAAAGGCCUACCAAGGCGACGAUCCGUAGCUGGUCUGAGAGGAUGAUCAGCCACACUGGAACUGAGACACGGCCCAGACUCCUACGGGAGGCAACAGUGGGGAAUAUUGGACGAUGGGCGAAAGCCUGAUCCAGCCAUACCGCGUGGGUGAAGAAGGCCUUCGGGUUGUAAAGCCCUGUUGUUGGGAAAGAAAAGCAGCAGGUUAAUACCCCGCUGUUCUGACGGUACCCAAAGAAUAAGCACCGGCUAACUUCGUG